rnacentral:rRNA from 1 species
GUACACUCCUGCGGGAGGCAGCAGUGGGGAAUAUUGCACAAUGGGCGCAAGCCUGAUGCAGCCAUGCCGCGUGUAUGAAGAAGGCCUUCGGGUUGUAAAGUACUUUCAGCGGGGAGGAAGGUGUUGAGGUUAAUAACCUCAGCAAUUGACGUUACCCGCAGAAGAAGCACCGGCUAACUCCGUGCCAGCAGCCGCGGUAAUACGGAGGGUGCAAGCGUUAAUCGGAAUUACUGGGCGUAAAGCGCACGCAGGCGGUCUGUCAAGUCGGAUGUGAAAUCCCCGGGCUCAACCUGGGAACUGCAUUCGAAACUGGCAGGCUAGAGUCUUGUAGAGGGGGGUAGAAUUCCAGGUGUAGCGGUGAAAUGCGUAGAGAUCUGGAGGAAUACCGGUGGCGAAGGCGGCCCCCUGGACAAAGACUGACGCUCAGGUGCGAAAGCGUGGGGAGCAAACAGGAUUAGAAACCCCUGUAGUCCCA